rnacentral:sRNA from 1 species
UAUCAGCUCCUCUUUAAGCCGCUGGUAA